UACGUAGGGUGCAGGCGUUAAUCGGAAUUACUGGGCGUAAAGCGUGCGCAGGCGGUUCGUUAAGUCAGCUGUGAAAGCCCCGGGCUUAACCUGGGAAUGGCGGUUGAAACUGGCGAACUUGAAUCUGGCAGAGGGGGGUGGAAUUCCACGUGUAGCAGUGAAAUGCGUAGAGAUGUGGAGGAACACCGAUGGCGAAGGCAGCCCCCUGGGCUGAGAUUGACGCUCAGGCACGAAAGCGUGGGGAGCAAACAGG
rnacentral:rRNA from 1 species